GGGGCAUUCGGGGACACAAGCAAACCUGCCCCCACCCCAUUGGAGUACGCCACGGCGCGCGCUCCAGCCCACACAGUCCCCGACUAGUCCCAGCUUCCACACGCUCGGCUCGUACGAUCCCCACGCCCCCUUCCUCCCGCCGGUGGGAGUCACUGCGCAGGCGCAACGGCUGGGCAGCUGGAGGGCGGGGCUUUCCUUAGAGACGUUAACUCGUUGGGGUUGGCGCCGCCGCCAUUUUGAAUUCGCUCGCUGGUGGUCCGGUCGGUAGCUGCGGCGGCUAAGUGCGGCUCCGUGACCCCCUGAGAGCGCGAGAGAGACCGAGGGAAGACGAAGCAUGGCAGCGAACAGCCGGAACUUGAAACAAGUGCGGAUCGAAAACAGCUCCCCGGCGGCCCCGCUCGGCAUGGUGGGGGGCGGCGGCCUGAAGGGGAUGCGGGGCCUGGAGGCGGACAACGAGGUAGGGGCCAUGGCGCUGGCGCAGGUCAAAGAGGCUGGCGACGAGGAGCAGGAGGUCGGGUUCACCAUCGACAUCAAGAGCUUCCUCAAGCCCGGCGAAAAGAGCUACACGCAGCGCUGCCGUCUCUUCGUGGGGAACCUGCCCACCGACAUCACCGAGGAGGACUUCAAGCGCCUCUUCGAGCGCUACGGGGAGCCCAGCGAGGUCUUCAUCAACCGCGACCGCGGCUUCGGCUUCAUCCGCCUGGAAUCUAGAACACUGGCUGAAAUAGCAAAGACAGAACUUGAUGGUACUAUUUUGAAGAGUAGACCACUUCGUAUUCGAUUUGCUACACAUGGAGCUGCCUUAACAGUCAAGAAUCUUUCACCUGUGGUUUCCAAUGAGCUUCUGGAACAAGCUUUUUCUCAAUUUGGGCCAGUGGAGAGGGCUGUUGUUGUUGUAGAUGACCGUGGCAGAGCUACAGGAAAAGGUUUUGUAGAGUUUGCAGCAAAACCUCCGGCAAGGAAGGCUCUAGAGAGAUGCAGUGAUGGGGCAUUCUUACUAACAACAACACCUCGACCUGUUGUUGUAGAACCUAUGGAACAAUUUGAUGAUGAAGAUGGGCUACCAGAGAAAUUAAUGCAAAAAACGCAACAGUAUCAUAAGGAAAGAGAGCAGCCUCCACGUUUUGCUCAACCUGGAACAUUUGAAUUUGAGUAUGCUUCCCGAUGGAAGGCUCUUGAUGAGAUGGAAAAGCAGCAGCGAGAACAGGUUGACAGGAAUAUUAGAGAAGCCAAAGAGAAACUAGAGGCAGAAAUGGAAGCAGCUAGACAUGAACAUCAGUUAAUGCUGAUGAGGCAAGAUCUCAUGAGGCGCCAGGAAGAACUGAGACGUUUGGAAGAACUUAGAAAUCAAGAGCUACAGAAACGCAAGCAAAUACAAUUGAGACAUGAAGAAGAACAUCGACGUCGUGAAGAAGAGAUGCUACGGCAGAGAGAACAGGAAGAACUGAGACGACAGCAGGAAGGAGGAUUUAAGCCAAAUUUCUUGGACAAUGAAAUCAAAUGGACAAAUGCAAAUACGAACACAGCUGUGCGGAAUAUCUGGCUGAAGGUUUCUUUUCGAUAACAUCUGUUUCCCCAAAUACAUAAUCACAAAGGAGUACAUGUCCUGAGUGCAUCUCAAAAAUGGAGUUCUUCCUUUCUGUGUGGUGGAGAGUGGGUAUCAUAAAGUGAUUGUUUUUCCUGCUGGCUAAGUCAAAGUGCCAUAUGGCCCACUUCAAUGGAAGUCUAUUUACUCUGCAGUUCUGUAUCUUCAGGUUAAAAUUAAAAUGCUAAAAUGCAGAUGAAGAUUGGUUUAAAAAAAAAAGUUCUGCUCUGUCUUAAGAGUACAGAAGGUCAAGAUCCUGAAGCCAUUUUUUUUUUUUACUUUCAGGUUGGAAAAAGGCAGCAAUGAAGUCAAUUUCAUCUUCACCCUGAGAAAUACUGUGCAGAGCAUUGAGCAACAAACAUACUGUUCUCCCAGUGUGAAGGAGAUAGAGCUGAAGCAUGUCUGUCACUAUCAGCAUCCUCCACACACAAAAAAAAAAGCCAUUUUUUUUCAAAAAAAACAUUGGUGCUGAAUCAACAUUGAUUUAUAACUUUUGAUUUAUGAUGUGGGGGCUAUAAGCAUGGAAAGUUCUGGUAGACUUCUAUUCAUAGUAUUGAUAACCGGGUUUUCAAGUUUGUAGACACUAUAACCCAAGGCAGGUUAAAUUUAUUAUAUGACUGAACUGCAUUUAUGGUGUUUCUCCAAGAUAGAGAAGUAACUGAGUUAAAUGACACCAUCAAUUCUUAUAAUCAGGAAAAGGAUGGGAGUUAAGUGUGGUAAAAUUAAUGGAAGUUGCAGCAAAAUCAGCAAACUUGACACCUGCUGAUAUACAAAGUCUGGAAUAAGUUGUUACGUGCUAUAUCUCAAAGUAGCACCCUGUAACCCCCAUAUUCAUCAUUUGUAUAUUGUGAUUUUUCAUAAAAAGCAUGCCAUGU